rnacentral:lncRNA from 1 species
UCCUAUCUCUCAGCCACCUUUGAAUCUUCUUGUCUCUCAACUCUCUCAAACUCUCCGAAACCCUAGCCUACUGCUACCCCUAUUCAACCACCACUCCACCGGAAUCCAUGGCUUCUAAGGCCAUGGAUGGUUGGUGCUCACUCCCCUCCAUCAGUAAACCAUGGUUGUUUGACGCUUCGAGACCGGACCUCGAUGGUUACCCUUCAAAUCCUUCUUAGAUCUGUAGAUCUAUGGCUUCUUCAGCUAUUACCCCGG